rnacentral:rRNA from 1 species
CUUUCGAUUAUAAUUUAAGGUCUAGCCUGCCCAAUGAUGUAAAAGUUAAAUGGCUGCGGUAUACUGACCGUGCAAAGGUAGCAUAAUCAUUAGUUUUUUAAUUGAAAGCUUGUAUGAAAGGUUGGAUGAGAGAAUAACUGUCUCUAUUUAAAUUUUUUAGAAUUUUAUUUUUAAGUAAAAAAGCUUAAAUUUUUAUUGAAGACGAGAAGACCCUAUAGAGUUUUAUAAUUUUUUAAAAGUGGGGGUAUUUAGUAUCUAGUAUUUUUUCUUUUAAAAAAUUAUUUAGUUGGGGUGAUUGAAAAAUUUAAUAAACUUUUUUUUUAUUAUAUCAUUGAUUUAUGAGUAUAUGAUCCUUUCUUAAAGAUUAAAAGAGUAAAUUACCUUAGGGAUAACAGCGUAAUUUUUUUUUAGAGUUCUAAUCGAAAAAAAAGGUUGCBACCUCGAUGUUGGAUUAAAAUUAAUUUUUGGUGUAGAAGCUAAA